rnacentral:rRNA from 1 species
CCUAAUACAUGCAAGUCGAGCGGACCGACGGGAGCUUGCUCCCUUAGGUCAGCGGCGGACGGGUGAGUAACACGUGGGUAACCUGCCUGUAAGACUGGGAUAACUCCGGGAAACCGGGGCUAAUACCGGAUGCUUGAUUGAGCCGCAUGGUUCAAUUAUAAAAGGUGGCUUUCAGCUACCACUUACAGAUGGACCCGCGGCGCAUUAGCUAGUUGGUGAGGUAACGGCUCACCAAGGCGACGAUGCGUAGCCGACCUGAGAGGGUGAUCGGCCACACUGGGACUGAGACACGGCCCAGACUCCUACGGGAGGCAGCAGUAGGGAAUCUUCCGCAAUGGACGAAAGUCUGACGGAGCAACGCCGCGUGAGUGAUGAAGGUUUUCGGAUCGUAAAACUCUGUUGUUAGGGAAGAACAAGUACCGUUCGAAUAGGGCGGCACCUUGACGGUACCUAACCAGAAAGCCACGGCUAACUACGUGCCAGCAGCCGCGGUAAUACGUAGGUGGCAAGCGUUGUCCGGAAUUAUUGGGCGUAAAGCGCGCGCAGGCGGUUUCUUAAGUCUGAUGUGAAAGCCCCCGGCUCAACCGGGGAGGGUCAUUGGAAACUGGGGAACUUGAGUGCAGAAGAGGAGAGUGGAAUUCCACGUGUAGCGGUGAAAUGCGUAGAGAUGUGGAGGAACACCAGUGGCGAAGGCGACUCUCUGGUCUGUAACUGACGCUGAGG